CUCGUCGUGGUGCCCGCGCAACUGCUGAGCAGUACGCCAUUAUAGUGCAGUACAUGCAGGAGAACGUGAACCUGUUGCACGGAACGUUCUCGCCCGCCUAUACUGCACAGCAUCGAGACAGGGACUGGACACAACUGGCAGAGCGCCUCAACGCAGCAGGGGGCGCAGUAAAAACCACUGAGAAGUGGAGCAAAGUAAGUGGUGUGGUCACUUUCACACGCGGCAUGCCAUAUGAGUUACUACGUUAUUUGGUGCUUGAGCGAGCGGUGAGAAUUAUGCUGUGAAUGCAGGAAUGACUGCUUUCGAGAGAUGCAGUACUUUGGAAACGGUCAGAGCUGCACACGUAAGUCCGUAUAGUCACCAAGUUACUUAACCCAUUGGUUUAGUGACGUCGGGUUUAAAUCGAUCACGUGAGACUUUCGUUCGCCAAUCCGCCAAUCCUGGAUCACCACCCUAUGCUCUACCACCUGUUGCUGUGAAGCUUAUGGCACCGCACAUAGCGAGCUUCCUGCACGGCGCGUGCGCAUUUCGCCAGAGUCUGCCAGAAGCGAUGGUGGCCGGUAAGCCUAAUCCCCGGUUCACGAAGAAUUUUUCAUCAAAUCUUGGGUAAGUUUUGAUUGACAGAGUUACUAGAAGCGCCCAGGAGACGGAUUUUAUCACAAUGGGACGAAUAUUUGCCUGGAAUAUUCCAUUUCGAUCAUCCACCCAAGCUACUUGGUUUAAGCCCCGUGCAUCUGAAUGGGGGCAUCAUGAAACUAGGGGAGGGGCUAGUUUAACGUCGGUCUAAGUACUUUGCAACUACUGUGAACGUGUGUUGAAAAAACUAUCGUAGAGUGGCUGCGGCAGGCGAUGUUGCACUAAUUCGAAGUUAGCUCGUAAAAGUUAAGCAGAAUCGUUUUAAAUGCACGGUUAGUAAAGAAAAACGGCGUAGCGCUUGACCGGGGCCACGAAAUGCUGCAGUUGUUUUUAGAAGGCGUUUGCGAACUCUUGCUUGGCAAACGUAAAAAAACACCGUCAAAGUGUGGUCAAAGAGAGUGACAUUGACAUGUGCCACUGGACAAAAUCCAUAUACAAAUCCAAGGGACCGAGAGAGCGUGCGGAUGGCCGAACGUCAACGUGCAUCUUCAAAAACAAAGUAUAAGUAGUGCUGGCGCUUAUUAUGAGUGUAAUCUCCUGUGCACUGUAAGCGCCCCCGUCAUUGUACAGUAAGAGCAAUAACAUGCUAGAUGGUUGUUACGAGCCCCAAUGGAGGAAUUGAGGGGCGUUAUCCAUCUGGCAUGUCUAUCAACCAUCCCGGUAUCUCUUCCUGGUAUCAUUUCUUCGCAGCGUGUCUGAUCUCCAGGCAUAUUUAAGAGUGCAAUAGGACUGAUCAUAAAGUCUAUUAGUGUCUUGCAGCUGUUGUGUGGAUGCUAUCAAGGCAUGGAGAUAUUGCAUGUAGUUGCACGACACCGAACAAACAAUUUGAGCAGAUUUUCCGUUCCCAGAUUAUGCAAAUAUCGGAACAAAAGCGAACGAGGUCCCCAUUUCCCCUGGAUUCACAUGCAAGCAUAGAUGAAACUGAAAUGUGUCCUUUACUUAUUUCAGCAUGCCACAGCAGAACAGACCAACGAAGAACAAUUCUUCAGAGCUCUCCUUGCUUUCACGCCUGUUGUCUGCGUUGCACCUCGCCGUUGACAAGGAUGACAACCGUGCUUUUCACUUGGUUUAAUGUUUGAUUAAAUACAAGAAAGACAUCCGUGGACGCAUUGCAAAUGGCGGCAGACGAGGAUCGGAUACAUGGGUGAAGGGACGGCGUACAUAACAAGUGAGGCUAAUUGUAUCCUUUCAUUCCAGAUGACUGUGGGACUAUAUCAGUUGCAAGGACGUAAGCUACAAAAUGGUGUACCGUACAAGCUUUGUGUGAUACAAGCUUCGUACAAUGUGAGGCGACUGCGAGCUGGUAUUAACUUCGGUUUCUUUGCAGAUAUUUCUACGUCUCAACGGUCACUCAUGUGCGCAAAAUUGCAACUGCUUCUCACAUCGAAGCGAGUCUGGUAUCACUUCCUUGGACAAUUGUUCGACGGCCAUUUCGUCUGAGGAACUGUCGUGUUCGUCACUAAGGAUGGUAUUGAUCGAGCUUUGCGGUGACUGCCUGUUUGAAGUUUCGGGGCCUGCCUGGUUCAUUGGAUGAGUUGUGUUCCGCGCAACGUGUUCCAUAUGUGUGCGUCGGCGUUAAGUGAACCGUGUAUGAUUUUUAUUCAGCAAAUAAUGAUGUACUGGAUGCCAGUUGAAAGGUAU